rnacentral:rRNA from 1 species
UACGUAGGGGGCGAGCGUUAUCCGGAUUUACUGGGCGUAAAGCGCGUUAAGGCGGUUGGCAAAGUUGGUUGUGAAAUCUCAGGGCUCAACCCUGAAAUUGCGACCAAUACUGGUCGACUAGAGUGCAAGAGAGGAAGGUGGAAUUCCCGGUGUAGUAGUGAAAUGCGUAGAUAUCGGGAGGAACAUCAGUGGCGAAGGCGGCCUGCUGGGCUGUUGCUGACGCUGAGGCGCGACAGCGUGGGGAGCAAACAGGG